UUUUUUUUAACAAGCAAAAAUGGAAUAUAUAUUAGAAACCAAAAGAGAAAUCUCAAGCACAAGGUGUGCUAGAGAAAACUCAAAAGUAAGCAAUUACAAGGACAAAAUGUAGCCAAUAGAACAAGGACAAAAAAUAGCCAAAGAACAAGCUAGCCAAUACCCAAACAAACAAAAGGGCUUAACCACCACAUAUGAAAAUUAUUACGGAUAGAAAAAUUAGUAGUCUUCAUCCACCAGAAAGACUGUAAUUUGAUUUUCUCUACCAAUUGGUGAACGGUAUGGUCCUUAUUUUUGAAUACCCUGCUGUUUCUUUCACUCCACAUAACCCCCACAGAGCACAACCAAAUAAGUUGCAAGAAAGAGCAAAAAGUACGGGAGGCCCCUACGGAAUACACAAACUGUAACACCCCGUUUUCCCAAUAUUUAAAAUUUCUUUAAAAACAUAACAUUUAUCAGAGUAAACAUCAAACAACGGGAUAUCACAUAUAACGUAAUCCAACAGUUAAAUAAUGAUUUAACCAAUAUCUUAAACAUUUGCAGCGGAAAAUCUUAACCAUAAGUCAUGAAACGUUUUGGCACGCAGGCCCAACAAGUAUCUCAAAAGAGUUAAUCAAAACAGUAAAUAUUCAUGGCAGUUCACGUAAGAGAAUGAAGCAUGUUAUNN
rnacentral:lncRNA from 1 species